GACAUUACCGAGUUUACAACUCCCAAACCCAAUGUGAACGUUACCAAACUGUUGCCUCGGCGGGGUCACGCCCCGGGUGCGUCGCAGCCCCGGAACCAGGCGCCCGCCGGAGGAACCAACCAAACUCUUUCUGUAGUCCCCUCGCGGACGUAUUUCUUACAGCUCUGAGCAAAAAUUCAAAAUGAAUCAAAACUUUCAACAACGGAUCUCUUGGUUCUGGCAUCGAUGAAGAACGCAGCGAAAUGCGAUAAGUAAUGUGAAUUGCAGAAUUCAGUGAAUCAUCGAAUCUUUGAACGCACAUUGCGCCCGCCAGUAUUCUGGCGGGCAUGCCUGUCCGAGCGUCAUUUCAACCCUCGAACCCCUCCGGGGGAUCGGCGUUGGGGAUCGGGACCCCUCACACGGGUGCCGGCCCCGAAAUACAGUGGCGGUCUCGCCGCAGCCUCUCCUGCGCAGUAGUUUGCACAACUCGCACCGGGAGCGCGGCGCGUCCACGUCCGUAAAACACCCAACUUUCUGAAAUGUUGACCUCGGAUCAGGUAGGAAUACCCGCUGAACUUAAGCAUAUCAAUAAGCGGAGGAAAAGAAACCAACCGAGU
rnacentral:rRNA from 1 species